rnacentral:rRNA from 1 species
GAUUCUGGCUCAGGAUGAACGCUAGCGAUAGGCUUAACACAUGCAAGUCGAGGGGCAGCACGGUGUAGCAAUACACUGGUGGCGACCGGCGUACGGGUGCGUAACACGUAUGCAACCUACCCGCUAUGGGGGAUAACCCGGCGAAAGUCGGACUAAUACCCCAUAUUAUUCUUACCGGGCAUCCGGUAGGUCUGAAAGAUUUAUCGAUUGCGGAUGGGCAUGCGGAUGAUUAGCUAGUAGGUGGGGUAACGGCUCACCUAGGCGACGAUCAUUAGGGGUUCUGAGAGGAAGGUCCCCCACACUGGAACUGAGACACGGUCCAGACUCCUACGGGAGGCAGCAGUGAGGAAUAUUGGUCAAUGGGCGCUAGCCUGAACCAGCCAAGUCGCGUGAAGGAUGACAGAAUCUAUGGUUUGUAAACUUCUUUUGCAGGGGAGUAAAGUGCGACACGUGUGUUGUAUUGCAAGUACCCUGCGAAUAAGCAUCGGCUAACUCCGUGCCAGCAGCAGC